CUGAAAAUUCACACGUGUGCACGAAUAUUAUUAAUUUGUCAUAACAUGUAUGGAGAAAGUUUUCACAUUAGGUAUAUGAAUGCAUCCUAAAAUGAACAAUAUUUUUUCCUACACACCUGUUAUUGAAGUGGAACAAAUAACAUAUCUACACAAUCAGGAAAAGAUUAAAAGAAGUAUAUGAUAAAUGUGAAGUUUAGAGUAUAAAAAUUUAAGAUAGUGUAGGAUAAUAUUAGCAGUCCAAUUUUUAAAGUUUUGAUUUAUUAUUUGCAUAUGCUAUUUUUACAUUUCCAUGAAAUAGAGGGAGAGAGAAUGGAGAGUAAAAACAAAAGGUGUAGUUUCUCUUUCAUGGAUUAAAAAUGCUCAAGGGAGGGUCUAAAUGCAACAGUGUAGAUGCUAUUUAUAAAUAAUGAAAUAUUUCACACUUUCAUCAUAAUAGAAAAUUUUGUUGGAUUUAAAACUUUAAGCUAUAGUGCUCUAACUAUGGUUGUUAUUGGUAUGUACUAAAAUUCUAGAAGUUUACGUAUACUUGUAAUUUAAAACCUUGACUGAAAUAACAUGGAGAGCAUAGGUUUUCUAUAUGAAGCUUCUUAGCUUACCAUGGGGUGCUAUACUAAAUCAUAUCUAGUAGUGGUGAGGGGGAGGUGGUGAUGCAUAGACAUAGUGUGGUGGAGGUGGAGAGGGAUACUUAGGUGGAGGUGGAGGUGACUUGUAAUAGUAAGCUGGGGGAGGAGGAGAAGGGUACUUGUAUGGUGGAGGUGGAGGAGAUGGGUACUUGUAAGGAGGAGGAGGAGAUUUGUACUUGUAAACAGGUGGUGGAGGAGAUGGGUACUUGUAUGGUGGAGGUGGAGGAGAUGGGUACUUGUAAGGAGGAGGAGGAGAUUUGUACUUGUAAACAGGUGGUGGAGGAGAUGGAUACUUGUAUGGAGGGGGUGGAGGAGAAGGGUAUUUGUAGGGAGGUGGUGGUGACUUGUACUUGUAGACUGGAGGUGGUGGUGAUUUGUACUUGUAGACUGGAGGUGGUGGUGACUUGUACUUGUACACUGGUGGUGGGGGUGAUGGAUAUUUGUAAGGCUUCUUAGGAGGUGGUGGUGGUGACUUGUACUUGUAAACCGGAGGUGGUGGUGACUUGUACUUAUAAACUGGUGGUGGUGGAGAAGGGUAUUUGUAAGGCUUCUUAGGAGGUGGUGGAGGAGAUGAGUACUUAUAGGGUGGAGGUGGUGACUUAUUCUUGUAAAUUGGUGGUGGAGAAGAAGGGUACUUGUAUGGUGGUGAAGGAUGGUGAUAAGGAUGCUUGGGAGGUGAGUACUCUUGUGGUGGUGGAGAGUGGUAGUAGUAAGGGUUCUUAGGGGGUGGUGGAGGAGAUGAAUAGGGGUAGUUAUCAGCUGAGGUUUGAGAUGGCAAGCUUAGAGACACUAUUGCCAACACAAGAGUAAGAGUAAUAGAGGCCAUUAGAGACCCCAUUUCUCCCAACUUCUAAAAGGGUU
rnacentral:lncRNA from 1 species